rnacentral:rRNA from 1 species
UUCCGGUUGAUCCUGCCGGACCCGACUGCUAUCAGAGUGGGACUAAGCCAUGCGAGUCAACGUAGAAAUACGUGGCGAACGGCUCAGUAACACGUAGUCAACAUGCCCAGGGGACGUGGAUAACCUCGGGAAACUGAGGAUAAACCGCGAUAGGCCAUGAUUUCUGGAAUGGUUCAUGGCUGAAAUCUAUAUGGCCUCUGGAUUGGACUGCGGCCGAUCAGGCUGUUGGUGAGGUAAUGGCCCACCAAACCUGUAACCGGUACGGGCUUUGAGAGGAGGAGCCCGGAGAUGGGCACUGAGACAAGGGCCCAGGCCCUAUGGGGCGCAGCAGGCGCGAAAUCUCUGCAAUAGGCGAAAGCUUGACAGGGUUACUCUGAGUGAUCUCCGCUAAGGGGAUCUUUUGGCACCUCUAAAAAUGGUGCAGAAUAAGGGGUGGGCAAGUCUGGUGUCAGCCGCCGCGGUAAUACCAGCACCCCGAGUGGUCGGGACGAUUAUUGGGCUAAAGCAUCCGUAGCCGGUACUGCAA